UUUGUGUUGUCGCUGUCGCCUGGUAACGGCUUGGCCGAUUGUGCUCAGUUCUAGCUGAGCGCUGGACUUGAACGGAGCUCUAGUUUUAAGCUGGGCUCUGGUCCUGGGCUGAGUGCUGGUCUUAGGCCGAGCACUGCUCCUAGGCUGCCUGUCCAGCUUAAACUUGAGGGAAAAAAAAAGACCCGUGGUUUUGUCAGAAUGCCGGCAUCACAGAAAAGUACUUCCAGGCGCCAGAACCAGCAAAGAAACUACGGAGUUACGUCUCCAGUUAGCUUGGCGCCACCUGAAGACAUUGAUCGCGUUCAAACGCAGAAGUUAAUUGAAGCAAUGAAACCGUUUGGGGUGUUUGAAGACGAAAAAGAACUGAAUCACAGGCAGGUUGUUCUGGGAAAGCUUAAUAACUUGGUGAAGGAGUGGAUCUUGGAACUUGGAGAGAGCAAGAAUCUUCCCACUUCAACGGCAGCAGCUCUUGGUGGCAAAGUACUUACUUUUGGUUCCUAUAGGCUUGGUGUACACACAAAAGGUGCUGACAUCGAUGCGGUUUGUGUUGCGCCUAGCCAUGUAGAAAGAUCAGAUUUUUUUCAAUCAUUCCUUGCGAAACUUAAGCAUCAGGAAGAAAUAAAAAAUCUAAGAGCUGUUGAAGAUGCAUAUGUGCCAGUUGUCAAGUUUGCAUUUGAGGGCAUUGAGAUUGAUCUUGUGUUUGCAAGACUGUCUGUGCAAACUGUUUCUGAUAAUCUUGACCUCGGAGAUGAUUCACGCCUGAGAAGCCUGGACAUAAGAUGUAUACGGAGCUUAAAUGGCUGCAGAGUUACUGAUGAAAUACUUGAUCUAGUGCCAAACAAAGAGAACUUCCGGCUCACACUCCGUGCAAUUAAACUGUGGGCAAAACGACGUGGCAUUUACUCCAACAUGAUGGGAUUUCUUGGUGGGGUUUCCUGGGCAAUGCUAGUAGCAAGAACAUGUCAACUCUAUCCGAAUGCUUUGGCUUCUACUCUUGUUAACAAGUUCUUCUUGGUUUUUUCAAAAUGGGAAUGGCCAAAUCCUGUAUUGCUGAAACAACCUGAGGAGAACGAUCUUAAUUUACCAGUAUGGGACCCUAGGGUGAACCCAUCAGACCGACAUCACUUAAUGCCCAUCAUCACCCCAGCCUAUCCACAGCAGAACUCAACAUACAACGUCUCUACAUCAACACGAGCGGUAAUGGUAGAGGAAUUCAAACACGGUCUUGAAGUGACAAAUGAGAUUCUUCAAGGCAAAUCAGACUGGUCAAAGCUCUUUGAACCACUGAACUUCUUUCAGAAGUACAAACAUUACAUUGUGCUGACUGCUAGUGCCUCUUCUGAAGAGCAUCACUUAGAGUGGGUUGGCCUUGUCGAAUCUAAAAUUCGUGUGCUGGUUGGAAACUUGGAGAGGAAUGAAUUUAUAAAUAUUGCACAUGUGAAACCACAGUCUUUCCCUGGCAACAAAGAACUCUGUAAACAGAAUGGAUAUGUGUCAAUGUGGUUUCUUGGACUUGUAUUUAAGAAAAUGGAAAAUGCCGAAAGUGUUAACGUUGAUUUAACGUAUGUCAUACAGUCAUUCACAGAUACAGUUUACAGACAGGCUAGCAACCUCAACAUGCUAAAGGAAGGGAUGAAGAUUGAGGCAGCUCAUGUGAAGAGAAAACAUCUCCACUAUUUUUUGCCUCCGGAAACCUUACAGAAAAGAAAGAAGCAAAGCAUGCCAGAUAUUAGUCAAAAUGCUAGUGGGCUUCAGUGCAAGAGGACUUCUUCAGAUGGAAACUGUUUGGACAUUACCAGAGACAUGGACUCCAGAACACUCUAUAACUCCUCUUCAUUAAAUAAGAUAUCUAAAUUGGAAACCUCUCCGGCAGAGACAGAAAGAAGUGUUGUGUAUCAGAGAUCUAAUAGUGCUAAAAAUAGAGAGAAGAUACUUCGUGUGGCUGUGCCAUCAGUGUCUAAGGGAUGCUCCAUUCCUGUUAUUGAUUCAGAAAUGGAGGCUGCGGUUUCACUAAGAACACUGGGACCUCCAAUUGGUUGUACCAUUCCAGGAUAUAACACGAUUGCUCAACUCAGAGCACAUUUUGUCCAAGGACAGCAAGAAUUGAACGGGACUCCAACUAUAGAUCCUAAGAAUGCUGCACCUAAACGACCUUAUUCACUGACAACUAAAGGACCUCAUUCACCUACAUUGGGAGAAUGCCCCAAAAAAACAAUGGGUAGAGAAAAGUUAACUGGCCAGGAUUCAGCAUUUAAAGAUGGUGGCAAUCCAGAAGAUAUCAGGAGAAGAUCUACAGAAAAUGGUGUCUUUGCAGGAAAGGCCAUGCUGAUUCCAAUUAUCAGUACAUCAAGAUCACAGAGGCUUUCCAGUAUAGAACUACCAGAUUCUUCAUCUCCUGUUCCAACAAACAGUAUUUGCAUUAUUAAAAGAUCCAUCAAACUUACCCUUAACGAGUAACCGGUACCUCAUCAGUUCACCUUUCAGUAACAAGUAAGCUGAGGUGGAUUGUCCAGAAACCCAAGCGUGGAGCUCAAAGAGAGGGCUGCAUGUUUUCCUCAGCCAGACAACAUCCCAGUCAAGCCAGGUGGAAGCUUUGCCCGUAGGAGAGGUGCGUGAGCGGGUUCUUGACUCCAAACUGUCCUGUGUGGCUAUGAAUGUGUUAUUGCGUGGCCCCAAAAUUUAGUAAUUUAUUUCCAUAAUCAGUGCUUGUUCAGUGUAGUCAACAAGCACAAUGAGAACGUUUCCAGGGCCUAAGAAUGUGCUGUUGCUUAAAGCCCCUCAAAUGAAGGUAGAAGAAACACUCAAAUUGAUGAGAGUUGACAUAGCCCUUUUCUCCAGCUUUAGGAGUGCGUAUCUUCCCAGAUUUCCUGAAUUAAGCUGUUGAUCAGUCUCUGCUGCUUGAGCGUGUUACGAGCAAAGAUGGAGACGCUCUUGUAAAGGGAACCACAGAGAAUUCUGGCUCCCCUCCCAUCUUCCUGAGCCAGAACAGGAAUUCAUGAAGAUACCAAACUUCUGUUGGUAAAUCGCUGCUCUGCACGCUGCGUUAGAAAGCUCUGUGUUGGAAGACAGCCAGGGUCUUUCACAAGACUUGAAAGAAUUGUGGGGUAGAGGCUUAUGAAGGGGAAGAUAUUGCAAAAGAAAACAGAACUGGACAGGAUUGCUAGAGAAUAACAUAGCUAUGAUUUCUAUUAAGGGGGCGAGGGGCAAGUCACUUGAGUCUGUUAAGCAGUAGCUGCUUUACUGUUUGUCUUCAUAAGCCAUAAUCAGUUUGUUUUUAUCACUUUAGGAGGUUCUUGCCGUCACCUUCGUUCCCGGCACACUCGAGUCCUUCUUUCCUAGUUGGAGACUUCUGCUUCAUCGGUUGUGGUGAAUCAACUCUCUGUUUAUAGCUAAGGAGCCAAACGCUCUGUUAAAAGGAGCAAAAAUAACACUACAUUUAUUUACCCCUGGUUUUUAUUAUUUCAAAUUAAUUACAGGGAUGUUUAUGAGGCAGGGUUGCUGACCACACAAAUAUAGGUUGUUCAUAAUACAUAUAGUCUGGGAGAAACUGUAAUUGCUAUGCUAAAUGUAAUUUAUUCUGUGGUUCCAUUCAACUAUAUAUUUAAUUUUAUUUUCCCGUUCUUAUUCUAGGGGUGCUAGCACACAUUCUUCCAAGCAGGGAUAGUAAUGAUGAGACAAUAAUUGUCUGAGUAAAUUAUCCAAGCAGCCUUCUUUCCUUUUUUCACUUCCCACAUUUCUGGUGUCCUCUGGCAUUGGAACAGAACUAUAUGUUAGUCCUUGGCUAUGGAAGUGAAAAAUUCUGUCUACGCUACAAUUAAAAACAUGUCAGAUCACAUGGUUUCCACUUGACCCGCAGUGCUAUUUUGCAAAUAAGGUUUUAACUGUGUUGCAAGUGUGAAGUCCUGAACAGCCCAAGUCUGUAGUAACUGGGUCACCUGCCACAGAGGUGGUUUUUUUGUUUUGUUUUGUUUUUUGUGAUGCAGGUCAUGGGAAUACUUGCAGAAGCAAAAGUGCUUUAAUUGCACGUCUGUGCCAGUAUUUAUGUUGGCAUUGAAGCUUGAAGAUGCAUGUACAGGAAGCAGAAACAACACUAUGUGUAACUAGGAUAUGUAAAAGGAAUAUAGAUUCUAGUUUUAAAUAAUCUAGCUACUAAAUAGCAUGGAUUUUUGAAGAAACGCUGUCAUUAUUUCAGGUUCACUACUUCUUAAUGGGCUCUUUGCACCCCAAGAGCUGCCCACUGUUGGAGAAAGAUAAUUAUUAAUAGUAGCACAAGCCCAAAAAGAAAUCAAGUGGACCAGUGGAUGAAUCACUGUGAAACAAAAUAGUUCCUGGCCUGUAGACCUGGUUGCUAAGUAUGAGACAGAGUAAACACAAUAUAUACUCAUGAAGUAGAGAGGCUGUAUAGCAAUAUGUAGAUAGUAUCCCAUGGAGUUGUCUAAACAUGUAAGAGAUUAGAUUGACCAUGGUGCUGCCAUGUAGCCAAGGAGCUGUAGUCUUCGACCACCCUGUUGUGCUGUCCGAGCAGGAUGAUAAAUCCCACCAAAUUGCCCCCAAACCCUCAGAGCCUAAAAACAGAUGAAGAGAACAGGUGAAGGUGGUGAAACAGGGUAGUAUGAGCAACUUAAAAGACAGUAUCUGUCUGCAAGCUCAUCACCAUCCGUACAGAAAGCUGGAAUUAAAGUGCUUUUUUUGUUGUUUUAUUUUUCAGCAAGACCUUCCUCGUGGGACCUGUAGUCUACUUGGUUGGCUGAUAAGUUUGAAAGACUUUCAGUAGUAAAAGUAUCCAGAAGUGAAUCAGGUCUCAGUACCAAUUUCUGAACUGCAACAGUCUCUUCAGAUUGUUCAUAGCGUAUGAGUAAAUCAGAUGUAUGUGUGUGCACAAAGCGUAAAUAGACCCCCUGGAGAUGAAUUAUUCGAGUGUGGUGAAGCAGUGGUGUUGAUCAUGACUUACUAUUGCCGAUGCGGUCUUCUGAGACUUCUGAAACUCAAGGUGAUGCUAAGUAGCUUAAACUCCUUGCAAGCCCUGAGGAAAAAGGGAAGUCUUGUAAUAAAAAUCUGGAUGAGCAAUUGCUAACCUCUGUAGGUGGAUCCACAGCAUAAUGGCUGGUUACUUUCAAGCAAGCUCCCGUAUCGCCCAAGAAGUGCUUGCAGCGGCAUAAGAGCUGAGUUGCCCGGAGGUUAAGGAGAGAAAGGGGGAAGAGGCUGCCUUUUUCUGACUCUACUGCAGCCUAAAGCGUCCACGGAACUAUCUAUCAUUUUAUUGUCCUCGGCACUUUCAUCUGAGUGGCUCAUCCCCCGAAGAAGUUGCAUCAUCAGUGAAUAAG